GCCAGAAUAGCAUAGUGGUUUGAGUGCUCGACUAGGACUCUGGAGAGCAGGGUUCAAUUCCCACCUCAGCCA